rnacentral:rRNA from 1 species
AUUGAACGCUGGCGGCAGGCCUAACACAUGCAAGUCGAGCGAGCGGCGGACGGGUGAGCAAUGUAUGGGGAUCUGCGCGAGAGAGGGGGAUAACUACUGGAAACGAUGGCUAAUACCGCAUACUAGAGGAUGGACCCAUGUGGGAAUAGCUAGUGGGGGGGGGAAAGGCUUACCAAGGCGACGAUCUGUAGCUGGGCUGAGAGGAUGAUCAGGCACACUGGAACUGAGACACGGUCCAGACUCCUACGGGAGGCAGCAGUGGGGAAUAUUGCACAAUGGGCGCAAGCCUGAUACAGCCAUGCCGCGUGUGUGAAGAAGGCCUUCGGAUUGUAAAGUACUUUAAGCGGGGAGGCGUUACCAACAGAAGAAGCACCGGCUAACUUCGUGCCAGCAGCCGCGGUAAUUC